rnacentral:snRNA from 1 species
GUGGGCAGCACACGUGCUAAAGGCGGAACGAUACUGAGAAGUCUAGCAGCAUGGCCCCUGCACACGGAUGACAUGCACAUGUGAAGCGUUCCAUCUUAAA